AAAGUGCCGCCAGGUUUUAGGGCC
rnacentral:miRNA from 14 species